CUACGGGUCGCAGCAGUGGGGAAUAUUGGACAAUGGGGGAAACCCUGAUCCAGCAAUGCCGCGUGUGUGAAGAAGGCCUGCGGGUUGUAAAGCACUUUCGGUUGGGAGGACUGCUUCUAGCACUAAUAUUGUUGGAAGUUGACGUUACCUUCAGAAGAAGCACCGGCUAACUCCGUGCCAGCAGCCGCGGUAAUACGGAGGGUGCAAGCGUGAAUCGGAAUUACUGGGCGUAAAGCGCGCGUAGGCGGCUAGAUCAGUCGGGUGUGAAAGCCCCGGGCUUAACCUGGGAACUGCAUCCGAUACUGUCUAGCUUGAGUACAGGGGAGGAGAGUGGAAUUCCACAUGUAGCGGUGAAAUGCGUAGAGAUGUGGAGGAACACCAAUGGCGAAGGCAGCUCUCUGGCCUGAUACUGACGCUGAGGUGCGAAAGCGUGGGGAGCAAACAGGAUUAGAUACCCCUGUAGUC
rnacentral:rRNA from 1 species